GUGAGGAAUAUUGGUCAAUGGGCGAGAGCCUGAACCAGCCAAGUAGCGUGCAGGAUGACUGCCCUAUGGGUUGUAAACUGCUUUUAUGCGGGAAUAAAGUCGGGCACGUGUGCCUGUUUGUAUGUACCGCAUGAAUAAGGACCGGCUAAUUCCGUGCCAGCAGCCGCGGUAAUACGGAAGGUCCGGGCGUUAUCCGGAUUUAUUGGGUUUAAAGGGAGCGCAGGCGGAAGAUUAAGCGUGACGUGAAAUGUCCCGGCUCAACCGUGGAACUGCGUCGCGAACUGGUUUUCUUGAGUGAGUACGACGUUGGCGGAAUUCGUGGUGUAGCGGUGAAAUGCUUAGAUAUCACGAAGAACCCCGAUUGCGAAGGCAGCCGACGAGUCCUUAACUGACGCUAAAGCUCGAAAGUGCGGGUAUCGAACAGG
rnacentral:rRNA from 1 species